rnacentral:rRNA from 1 species
CCUACGGGUGGCAGCAGUGGGGGAUAUUGCACAAUGGGGGGAACCCUGAUGCAGCGACGCCGCGUGGGUGAAGAAGUAUCUCGGUGUGUAAAGCUCUAUCAGCAGGGAAGAAAAUGACGGUACCUGAAGAAGAAGCCCCGGCUAACUACGUGCCAGCAGCCGCGGUAAUACGUAGGGGGCAAGCGUUAUCCGGAUUUACUGGGUGUAAAGGGGGCGCAGACGGCGAUGCAAGCCAGGAGUGAAAGCCCGGGGCUCAACCCCGGGACUGCUUUUGAAACUGCGUGGCUGGAGUGCAGGAGGGGCAAGUGGAAUUCCUGGUGUAGCGGUGAAAUGCGUAGAUAUUAGGAGGAACACCGGUGGCGAAGGCGGCCUACUGGACUGUAACUGACGUUGAGGCCCGAAAGCGUGGGGAGCAAACAGGAUUAGAUACCCCAGUAGUC